rnacentral:lncRNA from 1 species
AGGAGUACUACCAGAAGAGGUUGAAAACAUUAUUUGGGUGUUUCAAGUUCUCCUUUCCCCCUUCUGAUAACCAGGUGGCGAAUCGCAUCUCUGCAUGUCUGGCAGACAUAUCAGUGUGGAUGAUGGAUCACCACCUCAAGCUGAACCUCGGCAAGACGGAGCUGCUCUUCCUCCCGGGGAAGGACUGCCCGUUCCAUGAUCUCACCAUCACGGUUGACAACUCCCUUGUGUCCUCCUCCCAGAGUGCUAAGAACCUUGGCGUGACCCUGGACAACACCCUGUCGUUCUCCACUAACAUCAAGGCGGUGACCCGAUCCUGUAGGUUCAUGCUCUACAACAUUCGCAGAGUACGACCCUGCCUCACACAGGAAGCGGCGCAGGUCCUAGUCCAGGCACUUGUCAUCUCCCGUCUGGAUUACUGCAACUCGCUGUUGGCUGGGCUCCCUGCCUGUGCCAUUAAACCCCUACAACUCAUCCAGAACGCCGCAGCCCGUCUGGUGUUCAACCUUCCCAAGUUCUCUCACGUCACCCCGCUCCUCCGCUCUCUCCACUGGCUUCCAGUUGAAGCUCGCAUCCGCUACAAGUCCAUGGUGCUUGCCUACGGAGCUGUGAGGGGAACGGCACCUCCGUACCUUCAGGCUCUGAUCAGGCCCUACACCCAAACAAGGGCACUGCGUUCAUCCACCUCUGGCCUGCUCGCCUCCCUACCUCUGAGGAAGCACAGUUCCCGCUCAGCCCAGUCAAAACUGUUCGCUGCUCUGGCACCCCAAUGGUGGAACAAGCUCCCUCACGACGCCAGGACAGUGGAGUCAAUCACCACCUUCCGGAGACACCUGAAACCCCACCUCUUUAAGGAAUACCUGGGAUAGGAUAAAGUAAUCCUUCUAACCCCCCCCCCUAAAAGAUUUAGAUGCACUAUUGUAAAGUGGUUGUUCCACUGGAUAUCAUAAGGUGAAUGCACCAAUUUGUAAGUCGCUCUGGAUAAGAGCGUCUGCUAAAUGACUUAAAUGUAAAAUGUAAAUGUACUAUUUAGUGCAUAAUUCGAUACCUUUGCAUUUGGCGUUGUUUCCUCUCUGUUUAGCUUCUAAUCGCU